rnacentral:rRNA from 1 species
AGCUCCAAUAGCGUAUAUUAAAGUUGUUGCAGUUAAAAAGCUCGUAGUUGGAUUUCUGAGCGUGUGCGCCUGCCCCACUGGGGUAACCCAGCGAGUGGUGGUGUGCGCCGUUCAUAUGGGAUGAAUCUUCAUUGCCGGUCAAACGGUGAUGACAGACCUCCCGCUAUACUUUGAAAAAAUUAGAGUGUUUAAAGCAGGCUUGCGCUAUGAAUACAUUAGCAUGGAAUAUUAAUUUAGGACUUUGUUUCUAUUUUAUUGGUUUCUAGGAAUAAAGUAAUGAUUGAUAGGGAUAGUUGGGGGUGCUAGUAUUCAUCGGCCAGAGGUGAAAUUCUUGGAUUCGAUGAAGACUAACUAAUGCGAAAGCAUUCACCAAGGAUGUCUUCU